rnacentral:misc_RNA from 1 species
AAGACUAUAGACCUGCGGAGUACCUGCGGAAGGAUCAUUAGUGAACGCCCUCGCGGGCUUAUAACUAUUCCAAACCUCUGUGAACCGUGCCCUUCGGGGCUAUUUUACAAACAUGGUGUAAUGAACGUCAUAUAUCAUAACAAAACAAAACUUUCAGCAACGGAUCUCU